rnacentral:rRNA from 1 species
UACGAAGGUGGCAAGCGUUGUUCGGAUUUACUGGGCGUACAGGGAGCGUAGGCGGUUGGAUAAGCCCUCCGUGAAAUCUCCAGGCUUAACCUGGAAAGUGCAGAGGGGACUGUUCAGCUAGAGGAUGGGGGAGGAGCGCGGAAUUCCCGGUGUAGCGGUGAAAUGCGUAGAGAUCGGGAGGAAGGCCGGUGGCGAAGGCGGCGCUCUGGAACAUUUCUGACGCUGAGGCUCGAAAGCGUGGGGAGCAAACAGG